rnacentral:rRNA from 1 species
UUUAUGGAGAGUUUGAUCCUGGCUCAGAGUGAACGCUGGCGGCGUGCCUAAUACAUGCAAGUCGAACGAUGAAGCUUCUAGCUUGCUAGAAGUGGAUUAGUGGCGCACGGGUGAGUAACGCAUAGGUCAUGUGCCUCUUAGUUUGGGAUAGCCAUUGGAAACGAUGAUUAAUACCAGAUACUCCCUACGGGGGAAAGAUUUAUCGCUAAGAGAUCAGCCUAUGUCCUAUCAGCUUGUUGGUAAGGUAAUGGCUUACCAAGGCUAUGACGGGUAUCCGGCCUGAGAGGGUGAACGGACACACUGGAACUGAGACACGGUCCAGACUCCUACGGGAGGCAGCAGUAGGGAAUAUUGCUCAAUGGGGGAAACCCUGAAGCAGCAACGCCGCGUGGAGGAUGAAGGUUUUAGGAUUGUAAACUCCUUUUGUUAGAGAAGAUAAUGACGGUAUCUAACGAAUAAGCACCGGCUAACUCCGUGCCAGCAGCCGCGGUAAUACGGAGGGUGCAAGCGUUACUCGGAAUCACUGGGCGUAAAGAGCGCGUAGGCGGGAUAGUCAGUCAGGUGUGAAAUCCUAUGGCUUAACCAUAGAACUGCAUUUGAAACUACUAUUCUAGAGUGUGGGAGAGGUAGGUGGAAUUCUUGGUGUAGGGGUAAAAUCCGUAGAGAUCAAGAGGAAUACUCAUUGCGAAGGCGACCUGCUGGAACAUUACUGACGCUGAUUGCGCGAAAGCGUGGGGAGCAAACAGGAUUAGAUACCCUGGUAGUCCACGCCCUAAACGAUGGAUGCUAGUUGUUGGAGGGCUUAGUCUCUCCAGUAAUGCAGCUAACGCAUUAAGCAUCCCGCCUGGGGAGUACGGUCGCAAGAUUAAAACUCAAAGGAAUAGACGGGGACCCGCACAAGCGGUGGAGCAUGUGGUUUAAUUCGAAGAUACACGAAGAACCUUACCUAGGCUUGACAUUGAGAGAAUCCGCUAGAAAUAGUGGAGUGUCUAGCUUGCUAGACCUUGAAAACAGGUGCUGCACGGCUGUCGUCAGCUCGUGUCGUGAGAUGUUGGGUUAAGUCCCGCAACGAGCGCAACCCCCUUUCUUAGUUGCUAACAGGUCAUGCUGAGAACUCUAAGGAUACUGCCUCCGUAAGGAGGAGGAAGGUGGGGACGACGUCAAGUCAUCAUGGCCCUUACGCCUAGGGCUACACACGUGCUACAAUGGGGUGCACAAAGAGAAGCAAUACUGCGAAGUGGAGCCAAUCUUCAAAACGCCUCUCAGUUCGGAUUGUAGGCUGCAACUCGCCUGCAUGAAGCUGGAAUCGCUAGUAAUCGCAAAUCAGCCAUGUUGCGGUGAAUACGUUCCCGGGUCUUGUACUCACCGCCCGUCACACCAUGGGAGUUGUGUUUGCCUUAAGUCAGGAUGCUAAAUUAGCUACUGCCCACGGCACACACAGCGACUGGGGUGAAGUCGUAACAAGGUAACCGUAGGUGAACCUGCGGCUGGAUCACCUCCUU